rnacentral:snoRNA from 1 species
CAUCCCAUUUAAUAGCGAGUAGCCCUCUGGCAUUUCCGCAAGCUAAUCGUCUACACCGUGGGAGAGAGC